UUUGAUUUAUCUAUCUUAUUAAGUGUUGUUAUUAAAUUUUGACAAUUACAUAUUAUUUAGAUAUCUCGUUUCUUAUGCUAUCUAUGUGUUUGUGGAAUUUAGAUCUUUUAACCCAGUAAUCAUCUUGAGCUAAGCUCUUGAUUGGUAUAGCAAUUUAUAUAAUUUACAUACAAAUCCUAUAUAAAAUGGGGGGAAGAAUUUUCAAACAUAAACUUGAAAUCCAC
rnacentral:lncRNA from 1 species